rnacentral:tRNA from 1 species
GGUCGAGUAGUUUAAAAAAAACAUAAAUUUUGUAAAUUUAUAAUGGAUCCUAUAUCUAUACUAUAUCUCGGUAA